rnacentral:rRNA from 1 species
UACGUAGGGUGCGAGCGUUGUCCGGAAUUAUUGGGCGUAAAGAGCUCGUAGGCGGUGUGUCACGUCGGCCGUGAAAACCUGCAGCUUAACUGUGGGCGUGCGGUCGAUACGGGCAGACUGGAGUUCGGCAGGGGAGACUGGAAUUCCUGGUGUAGCGGUGAAAUGCGCAGAUAUCAGGAGGAACACCGGUGGCGAAGGCGGGUCUCUGGGCCGAUACUGACGCUGAGGAGCGAAAGCGUGGGGAGCGAACAGG